CAGCGAACGGACGCGGGGUGCGGUUAUACCUGCGCAUACGCACCUGUGAAGACACCUCUGCGACGAGUAUGGAUACGCGUCGAUGUUAAUGUACAAAAUCGUCAGCAUGGGCACUACCUUCACUUAUUUCUUUCACUAAACUGCCAAUAUGAAGGGUGCAUAUAGCAGAAAAUUUAUUUCUCUGCUACAUUUCACUCUUCAUAUGAUAUGAAGGCCUGAUACCCUAGUCCUUAGGAAUGGCAACUCAUCAUCAUUCCACAUUUUUACCGGCGACGCACUUGCAAUUUCCCUGGUGUUGCUUGGGUGUACAUGGGCGGCGGUAAUCACUUACCAUCGAGUGAGCCGCAAGCUUGUUUACAGCCUAUAUAAUAGAAGAAAAGGUGUAGGAUGACCUCCACUUAAGGUACUUACUUUCUAUCGGCUUGUCGAAGUAACCAGUGCGGGGCCGUUCCUCGCGUCGGUCCGCGCGCCUGUCAGCUGCAACGUAA